rnacentral:rRNA from 1 species
GACAGAGGGGGCAAGCGUUGCUCGGAAUUACUGGGCGUAAAGGGCGCGUAGGCGGGAUGGCAAGUCGGUCGUGAAAUCCCUCGGCUCAACCAAGGAAGUGCAUCCGAAACUGCUGAGCUUGAGUACUUAAGAGGAUCGCGGAAUUCCCGGUGUAGAGGUGAAAUUCGUAGAUAUUGGGAAGAACACCGGUGGCGAAGGCGGCCAACUGGACCACAACUGACGCUGAGGCGCGAAAGCGUGGGGAGCAAACAGG